GGUGGUGGAGUCACCACUCCUGGAAGUGUUCAAGAAUUGACUGGACAUGCACUUGGUGCCAUGGUUUAGUUAACAUGAUGGUGUUUGGUAAAAGGUUGGACUCAAUGAUCUUGGAGGUCUUUUCCUACCUUAAUGAUUCUAUUACUCUGAUCUCUACAGA